ACAAAUAACCCGCACACCACCACGGCGACCGCGUGUAGCGCCACAGUUUUGUUAGCCUUCACCACUCCACCAGCGGGAGCACGCAAGAAACAGUGACAGGUGGCGCUGGGGAGGCCGUGCUGCUGGUUGGCUGGCUGGCUAGUCUUGCCCCACACGCUCUAUCAAAAAGUCUUCCCGUAUUCCCGGCACCUUCUCCCUGCACCUAGCACGGCCAAGCAGCACCAGAGAGGCACGAUUACGUAAGUUGAGGAAACAAUGGCCCAGUAUAAAAAAAAUUACAGAGUUCAACAGACCCUGGAGUUUUUAUUAGAAAGAAAAGACAACUUCCAAGAAAAAUAGGAUCACCUCGGAGGAAGAAGGGUAUGGGUGGGUGGAGGUGGCCG